rnacentral:rRNA from 1 species
AUUGAACGCUGGCGGCAGGCCUAACACAUGCAAGUCGAGCGGAUGACGGGAGCUUGCUCCUUGAUUCAGCGGCGGACGGGUGAGUAAUGCCUAGGAACCUGCCUGGUAGUGGGGGACAACGUUCCGAAAGGGGCGCUAAUACCGCAUACGUCCUACGGGAGAAAGUGGGGGAUCUUCGGACCUCACGCUAUCAGAUGAGCCUAGGUCGGAUUAGCUAGUUGGUGAGGUAAAGGCUCACCAAGGCGACGAUCCGUAACCGGUCUGAGAGGAUGAUCAGUCACACUGGAACUGAGACACGGUCCAGACUCCUACGGGAGGCAGCAGUGGGGAAUAUUGGACAAUGGGCGAAAGCCUGAUCCAGCCAUGCCGCGUGUGUGAAGAAGGUCUUCGGAUUGUAAAGCACUUUAAGUUGGAAGGAAGGGCAGUAAGUUAAUACCUUGCUGUUUUGACGUUACCGACAGAAUAAGCACCGGCUAACUCUGUGCCAGCCGCCGCCGUAAAAC